CCUACGGGAGGCAGCAGUGGGGAAUAUUGCACAAUGGGGGGAACCCUGAUGCAGCGACGCCGUGUGGGUGAGGAAGGACUUCGGUAUGUAAAGCCCUAUCAGCAGGGAAGAAAAUGACGGUACCUGACUAAGAAGCCCCUGCUAACUACGUGCCAGCAGCCGCGGUAAUACGUAGGGGGCAGGCGUUAUCCGUGUUUACGGGGUGUAAAGGGAGCGUAGGCGGCGUGCCAAGUCGGAGGUGAAAGGCCGGGGCUCAACCCCGGGACUGCAUUGGAAACUGGCAUGCUGGAGUGCAGGAGGGGCAAGCGGAAUUCCUAGUGUAGCGGUGAAAUGCGUAGAUAUUAGGAGGAACACCGGUGGCGAAGGCGGCUUGCUGGACGGUAACUGACGUUGAGGCUCGAAAGCGUGGGGAGCAAACAGGAUUAGAUACCCCUGUAGUC
rnacentral:rRNA from 1 species